UCUUAUUUUGUUGGUUUCUAGGACCGAAGUAAUGAUUAACAGGGACAGUUGGGGGCAUUCAUAUUCCAUUGUCAGAGGUGAAAUUCUUGGAUUAACGGAAGAUGAACUUCUGCGAAAGCAUCUGCCAAGGAUGUUUUCAUUGAUCAAGAACGAAAGUUAGGGGAUCGAAGACGAUCAGAUACCGUCGUAGUCUUAACCAUAAACUAUGCCGACUAGGGAUGAGGAGUCGUUAACUUUGUACGACCCUCCAUGCACCUUAUGAGAAAUCAAAGCCUAUGGGUUCCGGGGGGAGUAUGGUCGCAAGGCUGAAACUUAAAGGAAUUGACGGAAGGGCACCACCAGGAGUGGAGCCUGCGGCUUAAUUUGACUCAACACGGGAAAACUUACCAGGUCCAGACAUAGUUAGGAUUGACAGUUUGAGAGCUCUU
rnacentral:rRNA from 1 species